CUAAUUGUGUUGUACGGCAGUGAGACUGUGGGGGAUAAGCUUCAUAGUCGAGAGGGAAACAGCCCAGAUCGCCGGUUAAGGCCCCUAAGGGUGUACUAAGUGGAAAAGGAUGUGGGAUCGCGAAGACAGCCAGGAGGUUGGCUUAGAAGCAGCCAUCCUUGAAAGAGUGCGUAAUAGCUCACUGGUCGAGUGGUUCUGCGCCGACAAUUCAGUGGGGCUCAAGUACACCGCCGAAGCCGCGGCAAACAUUUUUUGUUUGGGUAGGGGAGCGUCGUGCAUGGGUUGAAGCGUUACCGUAAGGAGGCGUGGACUGUGUGCGAGUGAGAAUGCAGGCAUGAGUAACGAAUUGAUAGGUGAGAAUCCUAUCCGCCGGAUGACUAAGGGUUCCUGGGUCAAGUUCGUCUUCCCAGGGUGAGUCGGGACCUAAGGCGAGGCCGACAGGCGUAGUCGAUGGAUAACCAGUUGAUAUUCUGGUACCCGUACAUGCGCGCCCAUGAUGAAGCACUGAUACUAACCACCGCGGAUGCAC
rnacentral:rRNA from 1 species